rnacentral:pre_miRNA from 1 species
CGUCGUGACGUGGGAUUGAUUACGUCAUCGCGCAGUAACAGUCUUACGUCAUGGCUGCG